rnacentral:misc_RNA from 1 species
GAUGAAGAACGCAGUGAAAUGCGAUAAGUAGUGUGAAUUGCAGAAUUCAGUGAAUCAUCGAAUCUUUGAACGCACAUUGCGCCCCUCGGUAUUCCGUGGGGCAUGCCUGCUCGAGCGUCAUUUAACCCCUCAAGCCUAGCUUGGUAUUGGGUGCUUGUCCCGCCUCUCGCGCGGCGACUCACCUCAAAGUCAUUGGCAGCCCGCAUCUCGCCGGCCGUGAGCGCAGCACAGACGCGCUCUUGGCAACGACGGAUCGGCUCUCCAAAAGCUUAUUUCAACCACUGACCUCGGAUCAGGUAGGGAUACCCGCUGAACUUAAGCAUAUCAAUAAGCGGAGGA